CUACGGGACGCUGCAGUCGGGAAUAUUGCGCAAUGGAGGAAACUCUGACGCAGUGACGCCGCGUAUAGGAAGAAGGUUUUCGGAUUGUAAACUAUUGUCGUUAGGGAAGAUAAAAGACAGUACCUAAGGAGGAAGCUCCAGCUAACUACGUGCCAGCAGCCGCGGUAAUACGUAGGGAGCAAGCGUUAUCCGGAUUUAUUGGGUGUAAAGGGUGCGUAGACGGGAAGACAAGUUAGUUGUGAAAUCCCUCGGCUUAACUGAGGAACUGCAACUAAAACUAUUUUUCUUGAGUGUUGGAGAGGAAAGUGGAAUUCCUAGUGUAGCGGUGAAAUGCGUAGAUAUUAGGAGGAACACCGGUGGCGAAGGCGACUUUCUGGACAAUAACUGACGUUGAGGCACGAAAGUGUGGGGAGCAAACAGGAUUAGAUACCCUCGUAGUC
rnacentral:rRNA from 1 species